rnacentral:lncRNA from 1 species
UGUUGCCUUGGCUAUAUACCGAGAACGAAGAAAAGAUUACCCUACUUUACCAAAAGAUAAAGCAGAUAUCCACGAAGCAGUGAAGGAAAUGAAAAUGGAAACAAACAAAUUUGAGAAUUUUCUUUUGAUAAAUGAUGUUGAAAGUGGAAUUAUCAUUUUUUCCUGUACUGCUAAUCUUGAGUGUCUUUGUAAUGAUGUACCAGAUGUAUUUGUGGAUGGUACCUUUAAAUGCUGUCCAAGAUAUUUUUUUCAAAUGUACACACUGCAUGGAUGUAAAGAUGGUAACUAUGUGCCGCUUGUAUAUGCAUUGCUUCCUGGAAAAAGUGAAGAAUGCUACACAAACAUGUGGAACUUUAUAUUUCAACUUUGUGAACAGAGAAAUCUUGUACUUAAACCACAGUCUAUUCAUAUAGACUUUGAACAAGCCAUGCAUAAUGUUAUUUUGCGAAUGUUGCCAGGAUCGAAAAUCGAUUGCUGUAGAUUUCACCUUGGCCAAAAUUGGUGGCGGAAAAUUCAAGAUCUUGGAUUAAGUACCGAGUAUAAGGAAAAGACCUGCGAAAUUGGUAAAUGGUUAUCAUCAUUUUUUGGGUUACCAUAUCUACCGCCUGAUCAAAUUGAAGACUGCUUCGUAGAUGAUAUUAUGACUGAAUCUCCAACUGAUAGCAGAUGCAUAAAAUUUGCUGAUUAUGUUUUGGAAACUUAUAUAAGCCCGGAAUCUAGAUAUCCACCGUCAUUUUGGGCUGCUACACCCACUGCUAAUUUUAAACGAACCAACAAUGGACCGGAGUCAUUCCAUGCACAUUUUAAUGAACAAUUUUAUUCAAAACAUCCAAACAUGUUUAUUUAUGUUGACGUUGUAAAGAAGAUUCAGGCUACAACAUACAUCAAAAUCCGAUCUAUGGACACACCGGCUGCAGUUCGACGAUGGGAGAAAGAGAAAACUGACUAUCUUAUGGAGAAACAUGGCAUGUACCUAAGAGGGGAAAUUUCAAGGCAUGACUACAUCAAGACCGUUGCAUAUAAAUUUUGUGCCAGAACAGACUUGUAACUUUACUAUAGUGCUAACAAAUGUCUCAGUAAUGUACUCCAGUGUAUAGUGCUUUCUUUUCUGUUUUUAUCAAGGUUUUAACAUUACUUUAAUGAUUUUACCAAGGUUUUAUUCAGGUUUUAACAUUACUUGUAUGAUUUUAUCGAGGUUUUAGCAUUACUUGUAUGAUUUUAUCGAGGUUUUAGCAUAACUUGUAUGAUGUUUUAUACUGUUAUCGAGGUUUUAGCAUAACUUGUAUGAUGUUUUAU